UACGGGGGGGCAAGCGUUGUUCGGAAUUACUGGGCGUAAAGGGCUCGUAGGCGGCCAACUAAGUCAGACGUGAAAUCCCUCGGCUUAACCGGGGAACUGCGUCUGAUACUGGAUGGCUUGAGGUUGGGAGAGGGAUGCGGAAUUCCAGGUGUAGCGGUGAAAUGCGUAGAUAUCUGGAGGAACACCGGUGGCGAAGGCGGCAUCCUGGACCAAUUCUGACGCUGAGGAGCGAAAGCGUGGGGAGCAAACAGG
rnacentral:rRNA from 1 species